GCAAGUCGUACGAGAAAUCUUUAGCUUGCUAGAGAGAGUAAAGUGGCGCACGGGUGAGUAACGCGUGGGUAAUCUACCCUUAAAUCGGGGAUAACGUUGCGAAAGCGACGCUAAUACCGGAUAAUAUCACAAAGUCUUCGGGCUUAUUGAUUAAAGAUGACCUCUACAUGUAAGUUGUUGUUUGAGGAGGAGCCCGCGUACCAUUAGCUUGUUGGUAGGGUAAUGGCCUACCAAGGCAACGAUGGUUAGCUGGUCUGAGAGGAUGAUC
rnacentral:rRNA from 1 species